rnacentral:rRNA from 1 species
GAUGAACGCUAGCUACAGGCUUAACACAUGCAAGUCGAGGGACCGGCGCACGGGUGAGUAAUGUCUGGGAAACUGCCUGAUGGAGGGGGAUAACUACUGGAAACGGUAGCUAAUACCGCAUACCAUCAGAUGUGCCCAGAUGGGAUUAGCUGGUAGGUGGGGUAACGGCUCACCUAGGCGACGAUCCCUAGCUGGUCUGAGAGGAUGACCAGCCACACUGGAACUGAGACACGGUCCAGACUCCUACGGGAGGCAGCAGUGGGGAAUAUUGCACAAUGGGCGCAAGCCUGAUGCAGCCAUGCCGCGUGUGUGAAGAAGGCCUUCGGGUUGUAAAGCACUUUCAGCGGGGAGGCGUUACCCGCAGAAGAAGCACCGGCUAACUCCGUGCCAGCAGCCGCGGUAAUUC